UAGACCGCCUGGGGAGUACGGCCGCAAGGUUAAAACUCAAAUGAAUUGACGGGGGCCCGCACAAGCGGUGGAGCAUGUGGUUUAAUUCGAUGCAACGCGAAGAACCUUACCUGGUCUUGACAUCCACAGAAGUUUUCAGAGAUGAGAAUGUGCCUUCGGGAACUGUGAGACAGGUGCUGCAUGGCUGUCGUCAGCUCGUGUUGUGAAAUGUUGGGUUAAGUCCCGCAACGAGCGCAACCCUUAUCCUUUGUUGCCAGCGGUUAGGCCGGGAACUCAAAGGAGACUGCCAGUGAUAAACUGGAGGAAGGUGGGGAUGACGUCAAGUCAUCAUGGCCCUUACGACCAGGGCUACACACGUGCUACAAUGGCGCAUACAAAGAGAAGCGACCUCGCGAGAGCAAGCGGACCUCAUAAAGUGCGUCGUAGUCCGGAUUGGAGUCUGCAACUCGACUCCAUGAAGUCGGAAUCGCUAGUAAUCGUGGAUCAGAAUGCCACGGUGAAUACGUUCCCGGGCCUUGUACACACCGCCCGUCACACCAUGGGAGUGGGUUGCAAAAGAAGUAGGUAGCUUAACCUUCGGGAGGGCGCUUACCACUUUGUGAUUCAUGACUGGGGUGAAGUCGUAACAAGGUAACCGUAGGGGAACCUGCGGUUGGAUCACCUCCUUACCUUAAAGAAGC
rnacentral:rRNA from 1 species